rnacentral:lncRNA from 1 species
UAUAUAUAUAUAUAUAUAGUCCGAUUACUAUACUCUUAUGAGUACUAUCGUCUUCGUACUUAUAAAUUAUUUUUAAUGAUAGAGCUUCCAAAUCAACGAUUCAUACCGUUAAACAUUAUCUAGAACAUUUAAAAUUUCUAGAAAUCAAAUUUUAUAAAUUUUCGAUAUCAUUUACCUUACGAUCAAAAGCUCACAAAAUUGAUAAUUUUUAACGACCGGUAUGAAAUUCUUGCUAGUUUAAUGGUGUAAAAGAAUCAAAAUAGGUUUAAUUUUUAUAGAAAAUUCUAUUCACUACCUAGAUAAAGAUCAAUAACUCCGAUCUUAAAUUGAAGGAUCCGAUCAUCCAUUUUAGGAUGUCGUUCGAUUUUAAUUAUUCAUUUUAUACCCGCUUGAUGGACUUUAUAAUAAUUUUAAAAAAUUGCAAAAUUUAUUUUCUAGAAGUUUCAAAUAUUGUAGAUCAUGUUUAACGGUAUGGAUCAUUGAUUCGUAAGUCCCAACAUCGAAAACAACUUAUGAGUACAAAGUGCUCUAUACUCAUAAGAGUAUAGUAGCCCUACUCUCUCUCUCUCUCUCUCUCUCUCUCUCUCUCUCUAUAUAUAUAUAUAUAUAUAUAUAUAUAUAUAUAGGCCAUGGCUACUAUACUAUUAUGAGUAUUGGAGCCCUCGUACUCAUAAGUUGUUUUCGAUGAUGGAGUUUCCGAAUCGAUGAUCCACUCCGUUAAAUAUGAUCUAGAGUAUUUGAAAUUUCUAAAAAAUAAAUUUCGUAAAUUUUCGAAAUCAUAAUAAAGUCCAUCAAACGGGCAUAAAAUGAACGGUCAAAACUGAACGACAUCCUAAAAAAGGAUGAUCAGAUCCUUCAAUUCAAGAUCGGAGUUAUUGAUUUUUAUCUAGGUAGUGAAUAGAAUUUUCUAUCAAAAAUUCAAUAAAUUUCGAUUCUUUUACACCGUUAAACUAGCAAGUAUUCUAUACCGGUCUUUAAAAAUUGUCAAAUUUGUGACAUCUUGAUCGUAAGGUAAAUGAUCUCGAAAAAUUAUAAAAUUUGAUUUAUAGAAGUUUUAAAUGCUGUAAAUAACGUUUAACGGUAUGAAUCGUCGAUUCGAAAGCUCUAUCAUCGAAAACGACUUAUGAGUACGAAGGCGAUCGUACUCAUAAUAGUAUAGUAGCCGGACCCUAUAUAUAUAUAUAUAUAUAUAUCCCCUUGAAAGUGCAGCUUAUUGAGAAGAUGCUCUUACUUAAGUUGGGGAGUCAUCCAACAUGUGGGGAANGAUCAAACGCUAUUUUCAUCUAUCACCACCUACCAUUAUCAUUUCAACCUCACAUCUCCCCAUGCAAUGGCUAAAAACUCAAAAACACCACCUUUAUGGUGCUUUUGAAAGUAUUCUAAUUCAACUCUCUCUCUCUCUCUCUCUCUCUCUCUCUCUCUAUAUAUAUAUAUAUAUAUAUAUAUAUAUAUAUAGUUGAGCUAGAACACUUCCAAAAGCACCAAAGAGGUGGUGCUUUUGAGUUUUCAGCUUUUAGAUGAAAAAUGUAAGGUUGGGAUGAUAGUGGUAGGUAUAUAUAGUUGAGCUAGAAUACUUCCAAAAGCACCAAAGAUGUGAUGCUUUUAAGUUUUUAGCUUUUGGAUGAAGAAAUGUAAGAUUGGGAUGAUAGUGGUAGCCUGAAGGUGCAAUAGUGUUUGAUUCAGGGGCUACUAGUAAUGAAGAAGUAGAUCCAAGAGUUAGAAACCUAGAAGCAUCAAGGGAGUAAUACUUCUAAAAGUAUUCUAGCUCAAUUAUAUAUAUAUAUAUAUAUAUAUAUAUAUAUAUAGUCCGGCUAUAAUACUAUCGUUAGCACCAAACACUUUGUGCUAUCAAGUUUUCUACUAUUAGAUCAACCUUUUUGACCAACUUUAUUUA